rnacentral:ncRNA from 1 species
CAUUGGUGAGAAUCCAAUGCCCCGAAAAGCUAAGGGUUCCUCCGCAAGGUUCAUCCACGGAAGGUGAGUCAGGGCCUACGAUCAGGCCAAAAGGCGUAGUCGAUGGACAACAGGUGAAUAUUCUUGUACUACCCUUGUUAGUCCCGGACGGAGGAGGCUAGGUUAGCCGAAAGAUGGUUAUCGGUUCAAGAACGUAAGGUAUCCCUGCUUUUUUCAGGGGUAAGAAGGGGGUAGAGAAAAUGCCUCGAGCCAAUGUUCGAAUAUCGGUUCGAGCUUUUCCUGGGCCUUUCUGAAACAUAUAAAAUGCAUGAAGUAGUCAGAUG